rnacentral:rRNA from 1 species
GCACAUUUUUAUUAAUUAAUUUUUUUUUAUAUAUCAUUAUGAUAAAAUUUAAUAAAAUUUAAAUUUAUUUUAAAAAAUAUUUAUUUAAAUAAUUUAUAUUAAAUCAAGAUGUAAAAAAAUUAAUAAUUAAUGAAUUAUUAUUAAUAAAAUUAAAUUUAAUUAAUUUAAAAAAAUUAUUUUAUUAAAAUUUUAAAGUAAAUUUAUUUAAUUAAAUAAAUUAAAUUUAUUUUUUAUUAGGUACAAAUUGCCCGUCACUUUUAUAUAUAUAAAAUAAGUCGUAACAAAGUAAAUAUAUUGGAAAAUGUAUUUAAUU